AAUUACUACUAAGUGGGAAACGAUGUGGGAAGGCUCAGACAGCCAGGAUGUUGGCUUAGAAGCAGCCAUCAUUUAAAGAAAGCGUAAUAGCUCACUGGUCGAGUCGGCCUGCGCGGAAGAUGUAACGGGGCUAAGUAGUAAACCGAAGCUGCGGCAAUGUGCUUUUGCACAUUGGGUAGGGGAGCGUUCUGUAAGCGGUUGAAGGUGUGUGGUAACGCAUGCUGGACGUAUCAGAAGUGCGAAUGCUGACAUGAGUAACGAUAAAGGGGGUGAAAAACCUCCUCGCCGGAAGACCAAGGGUUCCUGUCCAACGUUAAUCGGGGCAGGGUAAGUCGACCCCUAAGGCGAGGCCGAAAGGCGUAGUCGAUGGGAAACGGGUUAAUAUUCCCGUACUUCUUACAAUUGCGAUGGGGGGACGGAGAAGGCUAGGUGGGCCUGGCGACGGUUGUCCAGGUUCAAGUGCGUAGGCUUAAGAGUUAGGUAAAUCCGGCUCUUUUUAAGGCUGAGACACGACGUCGAGCAUCUACGGAUGUGAAGUCAUUGAUGCCAUGCUUCCAGGAAAAGCCUCUAAGCUUCAGAUUGUAAGGAAUCGUACCCCAAACCGACACAGGUGGUCGGGUAGAGAAUACCAAGGCGCUUGAGAGAACUCGGGUGAAGGAACUAGGCAAAAUGGUACCGUAACUUCGGGAGAAGGUACGCUCUCGACGGUGAAGUCCCUCGCGGAUGGAGCUAUUGAGAGUCGCAGAUACCAGGUGGCUGCAACUGUUUAUUAAAAACACAGCACUGUGCAAAAUCGUAAGAUGACGUAUACGGUGUGACGCCUGCCCGGUGCCGGAAGGUUAAUUGAUGGGGUUAGACUUCGGUCGAAGCUCUUGAUCGAAGCCCCGGUAAACGGCGGCCGUAACUAUAACGGUCCUAAGGUAGCGAAAUUCCUUGUCGGGUAAGUUCCGACCUGCACGAAUGGCGUAAUGAUGGCCACGCUGUCUCCACCCGAGACUCAGUGAAAUUGAAAUCGCUGUGAAGAUGCAGUGUACCCGCGGCUAGACGGAAAGACCCCGUGAACCUUUACUACAGCUUGGCACUGAACAUUGACCCUACAUGUGUAGGAUAGGUGGGAGGCUUUGAAGCGCAGUCGCUAGAUUGCGUGGAGCCGUCCUUGAAAUACCACCCUUGUAGUGUUGAUGUUCUAACGUCGACCCCUUAUCGGGGUUGCGGACAGUGCCUGGUGGGUAGUUUGACUGGGGCGGUCUCCUCCCAAAGCGUAACGGAGGAGCACGAAGGUGGGCUAAUCACGGUUGGACAUCGUGAGGUUAGUGCAAUGGCAUAAGCCCGCUUGACUGCGAGAAUGACAAUUCGAGCAGGUGCGAAAGCAGGUCAUAGUGAUCCGGUGGUUCUGAAUGGAAGGGCCAUCGCUCAACGGAUAAAAGGUACUCCGGGGAUAACAGGCUGAUACCGCCCAAGAGUUCAUAUCGACGGCGGUGUUUGGCACCUCGAUGUCGGCUCAUCACAUCCUGGGGCUGAAGUCGGUCCCAAGGGUAUGGCUGUUCGCCAUUUAAAGUGGUACGCGAGCUGGGUUUAGAACGUCGUGAGACAGUUCGGUCCCUAUCUGCCGUGGGCGUUGGAGAAUUGAAAGGGGCUGCUCCUAGUACGAGAGGACCGGAGUGGACGAACCUCUGGUGUUCGGGUUGUGUCGCCAGACGCAUUGCCCGGUAGCUAAGUUCGGGAUCGAUAACCGCUGAAAGCAUCUAAGCGGGAAGCGAGCCUUGAGAUGAGUUCUCCCUGAUACUUUAAGUAUCCUAAAGGGUUGUCGUAGACUACGACGUUGAUAGGCAGGGUGUGUAAGCGUUGUGAGGCGUUGAGCUAACCUGUACUAAUUGCCCGUGAGGCUUAACCAU
rnacentral:rRNA from 1 species